CAGGGCCAGGGCCGGCUCCAUUGAUUCACUUACUCUUUAUUUUUCUUCAAUGAACAGAGUUUGCUUAUAUGAGGAAAGUGACGACGAAAGCGGACGUGUUCAGCUUCGGGAUUGUGAUGAUGGAGCUGAUGACGAAACGGAGACCGACUUCGGUGAUCGAUGAAGAAUCACAAGGGGUGAGUCUGCGUCAAUUGGUGGAGGAAGCGGUUGGAGAUGGAGUGGAAGGGAUGAUCAGGGUUCUUGAUUCGGAGAUUGGGUUAUCUAUUGUUACUAGGAAGCAGGAAGAGGCUGUUGAAGAUUUGUUGAAGCUUUGUUUGUACUGUACAAGCUCUAGACCUGAGGAUAGGCCUGAUAUGAAUGAGGUUCUUACGCAUUUGAUGAAACUAAGAGGGAAGACGAUCUCAGUUCCAGAUUGUAAUGGUGAUUUAGAAGUGUAACACAGUAAUGGUUUAAUCAAAGUCGAAGACCAGCUUUGUUGUGCGAGUGUCGUACUAUGUUUAUGUUUUCUUUUUAUUUUCUCUUAAGAUAUUGGGCUUGAAUAAAGGGCCCAACAACUACUGUAUGACAUUGUAAAAGUCUCUGAUGAGUUGAUUGCAUAUUUGCAUUUGCGCAAGUGUUAAAGACGCUUGAUUUAGGGGAUGACUCGUUCCGCGGUUACGGUUGCAGAUGCGGAUUGUUGCGGUUUCUAACAGUUUUAAGAGAAUUACAUUUUAUAUAAUUACAAAAUAUCAAAAAUUAUAAUAUUAUAAUAAAUAUAAAAAUUAUAUUUAGAAAGUUAUAGUUUUAAAUUUUUUAAAAUUAUAUAAAAUAUUUUUGUUUAAAAUUUUUAUAAUAUUAAUUAAAAUAUAAUAGAUAUAUUUUAGUAUUUUUAUAAUUUUAAUUUUAAAUUUUUAUUGAAUAUUUUUAUUUUUGUAUUUAUAUUGUUUUUUUAAAGUAUCCUCCUACAACCGUAAACGCUAACUGGAAUCAACUUUUGUAUUUAUAAAGUUUAGAAUAGUUUAAAGCGGUUUGGAGCAGUUUGAGCAAUUGUUGCAAAAUGUCAACCACUACCAACCGAAAAAGUUGUGUUUGCGGAUAGUAACGGGAAAAUCAGUCAUACCCUUAAUUGGAAUACCCUUAACCGGAAGGAAGCCACUUCAUAGUUUAUUCAAAUUUUGCCAAAGUAGAGAAGUUGAUCAGCCGUAUCACACAUCUGUUUGGAUUACUAUUUUCUCUUCCACAAGAUUGAUAUCUUACUUUUCACAUUUUUCAACAGAUUAAUAAAACACUAAACAUGCUUUUUAUCUUUAAUUAAUACAUUUAAAAUACAUUAACAAAACUUAUCUCUCCAAUCUUUAUAAUAUUACUAGGGGUAUUACCACUGUGCAAGCGCGGAGUUCUAAACAGAGUUCUUGUUUCAUCUCAAUAUUUGCUAGAGUUAUUGUAGUUGUGAAUUUUGUGUUUUGUGUUGAUCAUUGUUUUUCAAGUUUUUUUAUUGUUAUAGAGUUAGAGUUGUGAUGAUAAACUAUGUAGGCAAAUGUUCAAGUGCCCUCCCGCAAGCGUGGAGUUUUAGACAGACUUCUUGUUUUAUCUCAAUAUUUGCUAGAGUUAUUCUAGUUGCGAAUUUUGUGUUUUGUGUUGAUUAUUGUUUUUCAAGUUUUUUAUUGUUAUAAGGUUAUAGUUGUGAUGAUGAACUAUGUAGGCAAUGUUCUCCACAUAUGAAUGACUAAACUGUGUUAGUAAUGUGAUUGAUAUAGUUUGUGGUGUUGCUUGAUCUGUCACUGAGAUUUAUUGUUUGUUUAUCUUUUUAAUUUGUUUCUUGUACUGUUGAUAGUACAUAAAUUAUAUCGCUAGCGGAAUCGACUAUCUUCACUCUGGAUUUGGAUUCCCGAUCGUGCAUUGCGAUCUGAAGCCGGCGAAUAUACUCCUCGACGGAGAUGGAGUAGCUCACGUCAGCGAUUUUGGGACUGCGAGGAUUCUAGGGUUACGUGAAGAUGGAAGCGUUACUGCUUCUACAUUAGCCUUCGAGGGGACGAUUGGGUACUUAGCUCCAGGUAAAAUUCGAAAUCCAAACAAUAUUUUAAAAGUCAAAAAUACGUGGCUUAACAAGCUUCGAACCUAGCUCCUCUUGAACAAUAUAGAGAACAGUAAACCACUAGACUAGAGAAAUUUCAAAACGACCGGUAAAAUGAAGGAUGGGCUUUAUUGGGCCAGGGCCAGGGCCAGGGCCGGCUCCAUUGAUUCACUUACUUUUUUUUUCUUCAAUGAACAGAGUUUGCUUAUAUGAGGAAAGUGACGACGAAAGCGGACGUGUUCAGCUUCGGGAUUGUGAUGAUGGAGCUGAUGACGAAACGGAGACCGACUUCGGUGAUCGAUGAAGAAUCACAAGGGGUGAGUCUGCGUCAAUUGGUGGAGGAAGCAGUUGGAGAUGGAGUGGAAGGGAUGAUCAGGGUUCUUGAUUCGGAGAUUGGGUUAUCUAUUGUUACUAGGAAGCAGGAAGAGGCUGUUGAAGAUUUGUUGAAGCUUUGUUUGUACUGUACAAGCUCUAGACCUGAGGAUAGGCCUGAUAUGAAUGAGGUUCUUACGCAUUUGAUGAAACUCAGAGGGAAGACGAUCUCAGUUCCUGAUCGUAUUGGUGAUUUAGAAGUGUAACAGUAAUGGUCCGUUUAAUCAAAGUCGAAGACGAGCUUUGUUGUGUGAGUGUCGUACUAUGUUUAUGUUUUCUUUUUUUUUUCUCUUAAGAUAUUGGGCUUGAAUAAAGGGCCCAACAACUACUGUAUGAAAUUGUAAAAGUCUCUGAUGAGUUGAUUGCAUUUGCGUAAGUGUUAAGACGCUUGAUUUAGGGGAUGACUCGUUUCGCGGUUGCGGAUACGGGUUAUCGCGGUCUCUAACGGUUUUAAGAGAUUUACAUUUUAUAUAAUUAUAAAAAUAUCAAAAAUUAUAAUAUUAUAAUAAAUAUAAAAAUUAUAUUUAGAAAGUUAUAGUUUUAAAUUUUUUAAAAUUAUACAAAAUAUUUUUAUUUUAAAAUUUUAUAAUAUUAAUUAAAAUAUAAUAGAUAUAUUUUAGUAUUUUUAUAAUUUAAAUUUAAAUUUUUUUGUUGAAUAUUUUUAUUUUUGUAUUUAUAUUGUUGUUUUUUUUAAAAAAAUUAUCCUCCUGCAACCGCAAACUCUAGCUGAAAUCAAC
rnacentral:lncRNA from 1 species